rnacentral:lncRNA from 1 species
UAGAAGUGAUGCAUGUUAGGCUUCCUCUUGGCCGUCAUCCCUAUUUAUCCACCAAAACUCAUGGCACAGAAUCAACUUUCAACAAGCGCACACUUUCAACCUCAAAUGAUCUGCUCCUCCUCUGCAAAAAUUGAACAUGAUAUGGCUUCAUUCCUAAUAGGUAAUUCUGGCAUUAUUUUUCUUAAAAUGCAAUGUAUUCCUACACAUAGUAUUGAAGAAAUCAUCGCUUCUCUGUCAAAAUAAUAAUAGUGUUUCCUAGCCAAAUCCUAAUGUGAGGUAAUAUAGUUCAAUACAAAGGAUUCGAACUAGGAGAAUAGUAGUAGCAGUCAGCGAAUCACUGAACGCCAUGGUAAGCCUACAACUUUGACAUCCAAGCAUUAUGUUGAGUAGCCUUGCAAGUUUUCACUUAUGCAGAAACCAUUUGAUUAAUGUACGUAAAGUAUUUGAAGGAACUUAAUUUUAUUUGAAUACAAUUAUCAACUUGUAAUCUCUUAAUAUUUGCAAAUCGGAGUUAUUGG